UAAUAAAUUGUUAACUAUGUCAAUGUGAUGGGAAUGUUGUAAUCUCUAUAACCACUCACCUUCGUGUGAGCAAUGCUUCUCGAUCCGUAGUUAAGUGGUUUAUCGGAUGAAAUCCGAUGGACGACCAAGUUGACUUGUUUAAACCACAGACCCUAAACACCUUUUUCUAUAUAAAACUUGCAAGAAAUUAGUUUCAAAAAUUCAUAAGUUCGUUAAGGAUGGACUUAGUACGAGAAGCCCUAGGGGAAUUUAUGGUUAUUUUUAGGUGGCUAAUUAACUAUUGGUUAUUUAUACUGACUUCCAGCACAAAACUCAGGGCUAUAGCGAUCAUUUAUAUACCCC
rnacentral:lncRNA from 1 species